GCGGAAGCUGAGAUCCAUAGCCAGGCCCCAGGUGGAGCUCCGGGAGUCCAAUCGAGUGGGUAUGUGUGCAUGAGUGUAGAAGCCCGCAGAGCCCAGCGACAUCUGAUACCUCCAGAGCUGGAAUAAAGGGCAGUUCUGAGCUACCCAACAUGGGUCCUGGCAACUGAAUCCUGGUCCUCGACAAAUACCGGAAUACAAAUGGAGAGAUCAAAGCAAGAAGUGGCGAGGGAGAGACUCCAUAAGAGAGCAAUCAAGUGACUGUCACACGAACACUCAGG